rnacentral:misc_RNA from 1 species
AAGUCGUAACAAGGUUUCCGUAGGUGAACCUGCGGAAGGAUCAUUAAUGAGAACUUGCCCUCCGGGGUAGAUCUCCCACCCUUUGUCUACCUUACCUUUGUUGCUUUGACGGGCCUGUCCUUGCGGACUGCCGGCUCUGGCUGGCGAGCGCCCGUCAGAGGACCCCAAACUCUUGUUUAAUUGUCGUCUGAGUACUAUAUAAUAGUUAAAA